GCCCUUAACAUGACUUGAUUCUUGCAUUGAAUGAAAGCUGUACAUCAAGAGGGAUCUCUCAUUACAUGACUACAGCACAUAUUCUCCUUGGAAGAUACAAGGCACUUCCCCUUUGGGUGCUGCUUAUGAAUUUUUACAGCUUGGAGAACUGCAAAUGGGCUCAAGAGGAAAGUGUAUCUGUGACCAAUGGAAACAUAAAAGGGGAAGAAAAGUUGCAAGACUUCGCAGACCUCCUGAAAUACCACAUCCCCGUGCAUCAAAGGCUUUGCCUGCUUUCUGAAAGAUGCUGUUUUUAUCACUGCACACGAUGCUGCAUCCUUUGGGAUGAAUUCUGCCAGCUAUCAAUAGAAUUAUUUAUAUACAAACCCUGUCAGGUUAGCAAAGGCACAGGAAUGCAGCUGGUCAUUAAAGAGGUAUUUGUUUGAAUACAUAGAAGAAGAUGACAAGUGUGCAUGGAUGAUUUUACGUAAUUAACACCUGCUAGAUUUGCAAAAGGCAAUUAUCACUGUGAAGUGUUUACAUUGAUUUAUGGGAGGAAGGCGGCCCAUGAGAGGGAUGCUGAUAAUAUCAACACAGUGGAUUAAAUGCACAUUUACACCUUUAUUGACAUAUAAAUUAUCUGUGCCAGGAAUGCACUGAAAAGGCUGCUGAUGGAGCAGUAAUGUGGCACAAACUAGUGGGUUUGGAUUCAGCCCUGUCAUCCUUCUGUAAGGCACUUACAUGGAAACCUUCAUCUGAGCUCCUGUAGGAUAUAGAGGCUCACAGAAUGGCUGCUUGGUAGGAUAAUGAGCAGUGAUGGCAAACGGGAAUUUAGAAGAAUGAUGAAAGACAAUGGCCGAGGUUUGAAGGAAUUGUCUCGCCUUUUUGAAAAUUACUUUUAGAUUUUUGUUGUUUGUACUAUGGAUUUUUAGAGAAAGCUUAAAGAGGCUGGAAGAGUCUUUGUAGCAGGGAAAUGGAAUCUGGCUCUGAAUCCAGCCAGCAUCAGAAAAGAAAGAUUGUGACGCAUGGACUGGAAGAUCAAAAAAGGGUAAGUGACAAAAGGUGGGAACACUUUCUGCUUAAAUU
rnacentral:lncRNA from 1 species